UUUUAGCCCCGAUAGGAGCGACAUCCUUUUGUUUUGCGACCGGAGCGAAGCGGAGGUCGUAACACAAAAGAUAAAGCGGAUAGCGGGAAAUAGC
rnacentral:sRNA from 1 species